rnacentral:rRNA from 1 species
UACGAAGGGGGCGAGCGUUGUUCGGAAUUACUGGGCGUAAAGGGCGCGUAGGCGGCGAACCAAGUCAGAUGUGAAAGUCCUGGGCCUUAACCUGGGGACUGCAUUUGAUACUGGUUUGCUUGAAUUCGGGAGAGGAUAGCGGAAUUCCCAGUGUAGAGGUGAAAUUCGUAGAUAUUGGGAAGAACACCGGUGGCGAAGGCGGCUAUCUGGACCGACAUUGACGCUGAGGCGCGAAAGCGUGGGGAGCAAACAGG